UCCAGCGGUAGUCAGCUGUCCAGGGCAAUACUGUGCCUGUGGCGGUGUUACACUGCUGGGAGAUAAAAAUCAGUCAUCUCUUCUGGCUAUUGUCACUGUUCUGGUGACAGCUGAUGCCAAGAAGUGACGUGGUGCUUCCCUGAGAGUGUGCUGAGGGUUUCAUUUUGCUCUUCAGUGCUAGUCCGGAAGCAUACAUG